GGAUGUAGCCAGUGGAUCAAGGCAGUGGAUUGUGAAUCCACCAUCCGCGGGUUCAAUUCCCGUCGUUCA